AGUGAACGCUGGCGGUAGGCCUAACACAUGCAAGUCGAACGGCAGCACAGUAAGAGCUUGCUCGUACGGGUGGCGAGUGGCGGACGGGUGAGGAAUACAUCGGAAUCUACUUUUUCGUGGGGGAUAACGUAGGGAAACUUACGCUAAUACCGCAUACGACCUACGGGUGAAAGCAGGGGAUCUUCGGACCUUGCGCGAUUGAAUGAGCCGAUGUCGGAUUAGCUAGUUGGCGGGGUAAAGGCCCACCAAGGCGACGAUCCGUAGCUGGUCUGAGAGGAUGAUCAGCCACACUGGAACUGGGACACGGUCCAGACUCCUACGGGAGGCAGCAGUGGGGAAUAUUGGACAAUGGGCGCAAGCCUGAUCCAGCCAUACCGCGUGGGUGAAGAAGGCCUUCGGGUUGUAAAGCCCUUUUGUUGGGAAAGAAAAGCAGCAGGUUAAUACCCCGCUGUUCUGACGGUACCCAAAGAAUAAGCACCGGCUAACUUCGUG
rnacentral:rRNA from 1 species